UGGGGAAUUUUGCACAAUGGGGGAAACCCUGAUGCAGCGACGCCGCGUGAUUUAGAAGGCCUUCGGGUUGUAAAAAUCUUUUCUAUGGGAAGAAAAUGACAGUACCAUAGGAAUAAGGACCGGCUAAUUACGUGCCAGCAGCCGCGGUAAUACGUAAGGUCCGAGCGUUGUCCGGAAUCAUUGGGCGUAAAGGGUACGUAGGCGGGUAAGCAAGUUAGAAGUGAAAUCCUAUAGCUCAGCUAUAGUAAGCUUUUAAAACUGCUCAUCUUGAGGUAUGGAAGGGAAAGUGGAAUUCCUAGUGUAGCGGUGAAAUGCGCAGAUAUUAGGAGGAAUACCGGUGGCGAAGGCGACUUUCUGGCCAUAACCUGACGCUGAGGUACGAAAGCGUGGGUAGCAAACAGG
rnacentral:rRNA from 1 species